rnacentral:misc_RNA from 1 species
GAUGAAGAACGCAGCGAAAUGCGAUACGUAAUGUGAAUUGCAGAAUUCAGUGAAUCAUCGAGUCUUUGAACGCACAUUGCGCCCCCUGGUAUUCCGGGGGGCAUGCCUGUCCGAGCGUCAUUUCUGCCCUCAAGCACGGCUUGUGUGUUGGGCCUCCGUCCUCCUCCCGGGGGACGGGCCCGAAAGGCAGCGGCGGCACCGCGUCCGGUCCUCGAGCGUAUGGGGCUUCGUCACCCGCUCUUGUAGGCCCGGCCGGCGCUUGCCGACACAUCAAUCUUUUUUCCAGGUUGACCUCGGAUCAGGUAGGGAUACCCGCUGAACUUAAGCAUAUCAAUAAGCGGAGGA